rnacentral:rRNA from 1 species
UACAGAGGUGGCAAGCGUUGUUCGGAAUUACUGGGCGUAAAGGGCGCGUAGGCGGCCUUCUAAGUCAGACGUGAAAUCCCCAGGCUUAACUUGGGAACUGCGUCUGAUACUGGGAGGCUUGAAUGCGGGAGAGGGAUGUGGAAUUCCAGGUGUAGCGGUGAAAUGCGUAGAUAUCUGGAGGAACACCGGUGUCGAAGGCGGCAUCCUGGACCGACAUUGACGCUGAGGCGCGAAAGCUAGGGGAGCAAACGGG